ensembl:snoRNA SNORA53 small nucleolar RNA, H/ACA box 53
AACACGUUCCUUAGAUCCACCUCUGGGAAGCGCUCCUCUUCAGGCCUGCUUACUCUGUGUGGGUACUGCAGUGUCUGCGGGGAGACUUCCAGCAGCUUUUCGGCUGUACAGUUGGAGGUGCUUGAGUCAUUGGCGUGUGAGAGCAGUCUACCUGCACCUCUGGUCUAAGAGCUGCACUGACCCCUUGUUGGAAUCCAUCAGUGCAGCACGACUGGACGGCGGACAAC